GUAUCCCCUCUCGUUCUUCACUCUCCCUCCCCUGUUGAUGAGAAGCAAAAGAAAAUCACAAUUUCUUUCCACAAACUCCGGAAACCCAUUUAUGGGAUUGAAAUGAAAUUGUCACUCGUUCUUUCAAGACGUGGUAAUUGAUUUAUGUUGCUAUCUGCGUUACGUUUCCUUGACGAUAAUCGAUUUGAUUUGGAAGCUAGACGACUCUACUUUAGGACCGUCAGGCCCACUGGGGCACCCCACCACCUCGGUGGCUACCCGGAAGAUCGUUGCGGCAACGAUGGCUGGUAACCAGAACUACCCUGGCGUCGACACUGGCCUUUAGUUUGGAGCUAGCUUGAUGCAGUAAGCCGGAAAAGCUUACUAUAUGGGAGCUAUGGACACAAUAUCGGUAUAUGUUGUUGUCCUUGUAUAUAUAUGUCAUGGGAUGUGUUGGGUAGUUUUCCUAUGGGUGCUAAAUGAUAUUUUCUUUACAUGUCUUUCUGCCUGUACAUGUGUACAAACUAAAGAAUUAUCUCGGGUUAGACGGAAUAAUUUUUACACUCCUUUUGACUGUCCAGUUUUCAUUUUCAUUUUCUUUCAUCGUUAGCGUGUCGACAUUUCUUAAAUCAUAUUUGUUACCUACUUGGAAUUCUUUUUAUUUGAACCAUAAUGUGUAUAUGUCAUUCUCUGUUUUGAAAUUCCUGCUGGAACUUGAAGAUAGUAGCAGGCCUUGUUUUGUAUAUUUCGUUCUCUUACGGAUUUACUUAAAUUAAUACUUGUUAUAUUUAUGUGAAGUGUGUACUCAUCACCAUUAUGUUUCAUUUUGGAUCUUUGGAACUCAUUUAAUUUAAGUUUGGAUCUAUGCAGUCAACUACUAAGUGUACUUGACAUCUAUACAUUUUUAUUGUUCCAGCAUUCUUCUGAGUAUUGAUGCCCUUAAUUGCACAUUUUAUGUUUGAAAAUAAUGGACUCGUUUAAACAGGCUAUGUUGGAUUUUUAUGGACAAGAAUGUACACAUUUUUUUUCCACUGUCUAAACUCAGGCUCUUUAAUUGUUUUCCUUUCGUACAAAAUCAUUUCCGUUUUAUGUACCAUUUUAUAUGUAUCGUUUUAUACUUCUGUGUGACGGAACGGGGGUUUAGUCUUGCUGGACGGGCUGGAUCCAGCCCGCUAGAAGGGAAAAUUCACCAGUCCGUUACAGUUUAGUAUCAGAGCAGUUCCGAUUUAUUUGGACUGUGGGACUUACUUAUUUUUUUGGCGCCGUGUACUUGAUCAAUUCAUUUCGGUUUUGAUGACUCGAAAACGAUUUGUUUUAUCGUUUUUAUAUUGCUUUGGGGUUGGGGUUAAAAGUUUCAAAGCCAUGAUAUAUAUAUAUAUAGCUUGUUGGGAGUCUUAGGUUCUUAAUUUAGUAACUGUUACUAAUUAUAGGGCAUAACCCUUGUGACUGUUGUCUUCUGAAAAUGUUGCGAAGCACUGGAAGCACCAAUUCAGCUGGAAGGGAACUUUAUCCUAAUUUUAGAACCAAGUGCGUCAAAUAUAAUUUGGAGUAAGGAAAGGCUGUACAAGCUAUGUGGCUUGGAAUCGCAUUCACUUGAAGUUUUGACACUAAUUGGGUUUCACUGGAUGCACGAAUUUUUCUCACCAACCGUUUGAUGAAAACUCUGAGGAUCAGAAUGGAUACGGGUACCUCCUUUUCUUCUUCGAACUAUCCAGGUUUUAGAAGAAUUAAUGUAGGCCAAGCAAAAUCGAGUUUAAAAGGAAGUGAUUGCGGAUUAUUGACACAAACAAGCAAGUCCUCGAGAUAGGGACCUCCAAUAUGGUGAUCAUGUUUCCACGACAUCAAAGCUUGGAAAAGGCAACUUCUGAAAUGGAAUUUUAAAGGAAAGAAUGGUAUCGCAAACUAUAUGGAGGUAAUCAUCAUCACUCUUAGUUUUGGCUUGAUUUUCGAGGACGAAAAUUCUUUUUAGUGGGUAAUGGUGUAACAGACGGAGAAAUUUAAUUUGGAUUGCAGGCUCGAGGUGAGUGCCUUGAGUCGUAGGUUGGGUGUCAUUAACUCAUUUAGCCAUCCCUUAUAAUUAGAGAAGAGUCUAAUUAGUGUUUUCAUGCACUUGACUAAGACUAUAGUUGACUACUUGACACCUGGGUGUGUACGUCACAAGAAAAGAAUGGGCAUUCUCGUCGUUUCAAAGUUUUUGUUCAUAAAUGUAAAAAGAUAAAUUUUAUUCUUCUUGUUCCGUCCGUAUCCCCCUCUCGUUCUUCACUCUCCCUCCCCUGUUGAUGAGAAGCAAAAGAAAAUCACAAUUUCUUUCCACGAACUCCGGAAACCCAUUUAUGGGAUUGAAAUGGUUGUUCUAAGAAAUUGUCACUUGUUCUUUCAAGACGUGGUGAUUGAUUUAUGUUGCUAUCUGCGUUACGGUAGGGGUUUCUUCCCUUUUGAUUUUGAACUAUGGGUUUCAAUGUUGUUAAUCGAUAUUACUUAUGCAUGUUUGAUUUUAACCCCUCUCCAUAUUUCAUGAUUACUUUAAAUCAAAGGAUGGGUGAUCGCAAAUUAUAUCUGAAUCUAUGUUUAAAUUGAAAUUACAUGAAAAAUCCCUAAAUAUUUCUACUCCAUUUGUCUAGUUGCCGAGAGUGAAGUUUGGAUUUUUAUCCCGUCCCUAUCGUAAUCUUUUAUAUAACCUGGUUUGGAAGUCUGAUCAUUUCAGUAUGGUUUGGUUCUUUAAUUUCAUAAAUACAUCUCAUUUUUGGUUUAUGAAUAUUUCUUUGAAUGUCCCGAACAUGCGCAACAUUUUCGAAUUUUAUUAUCGUUCAUACGCAAAUCAAAAUGAUUGUUUGGGAUGUUUUGUUAACUAAAACUUUUACAAAUUUUUUCUGUGAAUCUCCUUCAAUUUACCUAUGUUUUGAAUGAUUUCCCGCAACAAGAAUCUUAUUGGAAAUCCUAUCGUUUUUGUGUCUUAUGCUUACAUUUUAGGCUGUACAGAUUUUUAAAUACACAAAAUGAUUUUGAAGGUUUGAAAUGUUCGCAGCUAUCCAAAUUUGUUUUCCCACCCAAAAUCAAUCAAGCCUCGAGUUGAGUUUUCCUAAACUUGCAUACUUUCUGCUUGUUUAAGGGACCCAAUGAGUAACAUACUUUCUGUUGGUAACCUGAAACUUUAUGAACUGAUCAUGCUCUAUAUUUUUGAAUCUUGAUGCUUAUGCUUCAUUAACGGGUAUUUGAAACUACAUGCCAUGAUUCAAAGAUUUGAACAAUUUCUCAUGGAUUUUGUAUUCUAUUGAAAUUCACACUUUCCAGCUCAAUGUUUUUCCUUAAAGCACCAGCUUAAGUUUUCCUCUUAAUAUCCCUGGUUGCCGAUAUUGAGUUACCAAACCUUGUUCAUCAACCUCUUUCCAGUUACCCCUGCUUUGAUGAUUUUUGCAAAACAAUAUUAGUCUGAAAUCCUAUGUUUUUAUGUUCACUUAUGGCCUAUCAAACUGUGGGACGAGAUUGGUUUCUAAAGAUUGAAAAUACUACACAAUUACCAAGUUUUGAUUUUUGAAAAUUAAGCCUUGUACUGAGUUCAUGAAUCAACCUAUGACUUGUUUAGAAAAAUGAUCGAGUGAACUAAUAUAUUUUCUAUUACUCCACUAAAGAGUUUCCUCCAUGCAUUCCUUCUUGUUUUGUUGACCACUUAGCAUCUCAAGUAUGCUGACCCAAUAUUUUUGUCUUACUGCACUAGUCAAAAGUGUUUCAAACUUGCAAACCAUUGUUGCGGAAUUUUACUUAAAAUGUUCUGCCAAAUGAUUUUAUACGUUUUUUUAAUAGACUUGGGUUAUUCGUACUCAUUUUGUUCUUUGAUUUUAGUUUGGUCAUAUCAUUUGAACCUAUUUGAAUCUACACCCAAUAAAGUGUUUGUUUUUCAUUCCUAUGAAAACCCUGUCGGCAAUUAGGACUGCAAUGCGAGAUUUCCCCCUGCUUACGUCAGAUUCAUAUCCAUUUUUGUGCUCCCUGGAUAUGUGGUUGUUGUAGCUUAAUUAGCUUCCUAUGCUAUUUUUUAUCCAUUUUUGUGCUCCCUGGAUAUGUGGUUGUUGUAGCUUAAUUAGCUUCCUAUGCUAUUUUUAUAUAUCGACUAUCUGGUGAGAUGCUAUUUUUAUUUAUCGACUAUCUGGUGAGAUUGAGACCGUAUAGGUAUAGUUGUGUCGGUUAAGCUUUUGGUUUUGACAGCUGUCUUUCUAUUCUGGAAUGUACUUGUGAUUGUAUAUUUCAUUGACUCUUAAGAAUGCCGCAAUUGCUGCAAUUUCUGAGUUUUUCAUAACUUGGUUUCUGGAAGUUUCUUUGACGAUAAUCGAUUUGAUUUGGAAGCUAGACGACUCUACUUUAGGACCGUCAGGCCCACUGGGGCACCCCCACCACCUCGGUGGCUACCCGGAAGAUCGUUGCGGCUGGUAACCAGAACUACCCUGACGUCGGCACUGACCUUUGUAAGGAGUAGAGUAAUUUUUAUCUGAAUUUAAAUAGAUGGCAGCUUACAAAUGUUUGUGAAAAAAUGCUUUACAUUCACUUAUGAAUUUCAUAUUCUAGUUUAUGCUCUUUUGAUGCUUUAAGCUUUUGGCAUUUUAUUUGUAUAUCUUUUGGCACUCGAUUAUCGUUAUAUCUCCUACUGGGCGGUGGGCUCACCCCGUUUUAUUUUGUUUUGUUUUGUUUUGUUUUGUUUUGUUUUGUCUUUUUUUCUUUCUUUUUUUUUCCCACAGAGUUUGGAGCUAGCUUGAUGCAGUAAGCCGGAAAAGCUUACGAUAAGGGAGCUAUGGACACAAUAUCGGUAUAUGUUGUUGUCCUUGUAUAUAUAUAUCAUGGGCUGUGUUGGGUGGUUUUCCUAUGGGUGCUAAAUGAUAUUUUCUUUACAUGUCUUUCUGCCUUACAUGUGUACAAACUAAAGAAUUAUCUCGGGUUAGACGGAAUAAUUUUUACACUCCUUUUGACUGUCCAGUUUUCAUUUUCAUUUUCUUUCAUCGUCAGCGUGUCGACAUUUCUUAAAUCAUAUUUGUUACCUACUUGGAAUUCUUUUUAUUUGAACCAUAAUGUGUAUAUGUCAUUCUCUGUUUUGAAAUUCCUGCUGGAACUUGAAGAUAGUAGCAGGCCUUGUUUUGUAUAUUUCGUUCUCUUACGGAUUUACUUAAGUUAAUACUUGUUAUAUUUAUGUGAAGUGUGUACUCAUCACCAUUAUGUUUCAUUUUGGAUCUUUGGAACUCAUUUAAUUUAAGUUUGGAUCUAUGUAGUCAACUACCAAGUGUACUUAACAUCUAUACAUAUUGAUUGUUCCAGCAUUCUUCUGAGUAUUGAUGCCCUUAAUUGCACAUUUUAUGUUUGAAAAUAAUGGACUCGUUUGAACAGGCUAUGUUGGAUUUUUAUGGACAAGAAUGUACACAUUUUUUUUCCACUGUCUAAACUCAGGCUCUUUAAUUGUUUUCCUUUCGUACAAAAUCAUUUCCGUUUUAUGUACCAUUUUAUAUGUAUCGUUUUAUACUUCUGUGUGACAGAACGGGGGUUUAGUCUUGCUGGACGGGCUGGAUCCAGCCCGCUAGAAGGGAAAAUUCACCGGUACGUUACAUACUCUGAAGACCUGAUGAAUGUGAAGAAGAAGCUAACUACAACGAAGACAUCAUCCUUCCUCUUGAGGUUAGUAAUAUUGAAUUGAACUGUUUCAUUCAUAACGUAUCUUUCAAGUCGUGCUAUAUUGAAAAGAUAACU